rnacentral:rRNA from 1 species
UACAGAGGAGCCAAGCGUUGUCCGGAUUGACUGGGCGUAAAGCGCACGCAGGCGGUCGCGCGCGUGGGGUGUGAAAUCUGGCCGCUUAACGGCCAGGCGCCAUCCCAUACGGCACGACUGGAGUGAUGCAGAGGUCGAUGGAAUUGCCGGUGUAGUGGUGAAAUGCGUAGAGAUCCGGAGGAACACCAGUGGCGAAGGCGACACGCUGGGUCAUACCUGACGCUAAAACGCGACAGCAUGGGGAGCGAACGGG